rnacentral:misc_RNA from 1 species
GUUGGUGGGUUUGUUCUUUCGAAAAAGAUCAGCACUCUAUUAUUUUAAUCCGGUCACAACACCAACAAGAAACCUGGAGUGGAGGAAAGGGAAAGUGAGCCCAAUUGUGAGUAGCUUAAAGGCUAGGUUGAAUCUGAAACCGAUGCCGUUGAAUAUAUUUCAUGAUGCUGAUGGACUGCCCAGGAUUAUCUUGAGUGAGCCCUCUGGUUCAUCUGCUGAGGUGCUUCUGUAUGGUGGACAGGUUGUUUCCUGGAAGAAUGAACGCGGAGAAGAAUUACUUUUCAUGAGCAGAAAGGCUGUUUGGAAGCCACCUAAAGCCAUCAGGGGAGGUAUACCAGUCUGCUUUCCACAGUUUGGGAAUCUUGGUUUACUAGAGCAGCAUGGAUUUGCAAGGAACAGAUUGUGGUCACUGGAUAGUGAUCCUUCACCUUUGUCCCCAGUGAAUAACCAGUCAUCAGUGGAUCUGAUACUGAAGUCCACAGAAGAGGAUGUGAAGACUUGGCCACGUGGCUUUGAGUUGCGACUUCGUAUCUCUCUCAGUCCUGGGAAGCUCACUUUGAUCCCUCGUGUGAGAAAUACAGAUAACAAGGCCUUCUCUUUUACAUUUGCACUCUGUAACUACUUGUCUGUGUCAGAUAUCAGUGAAGUGCGUGUUGAGGGCUUGGAGACUCUUGAUUAUUUUGAUAAUCUAAUGCACAGAGAAAGAUUCACUGAGCAGGCAGAUGCAAUUACGUUUGAUGCCGAGAUUGAUAGGGUAUAUUUGAGCACCCCUACAAAGAUUGCUAUUAUUGACCAUGAGAAGAAGAGAACCUUUGUGCUGCGGAAGGAUGGCAUGCCUGAUGCAGUUCUGUGGAAUCCUUGGGACAAAAAGGCCAAGGCUCUCCAAGAUUUGGGAGAUGAGGAAUAUAAAACAAUGAUAUGUGUGGAUUCUGCUGCUAUUGAAACCCCAAUUGUCUUGAAACCUUUUGAAGAGUGGAAGGGCCACCAAGAACUCUCUAAUGUGUCAUCAAGUUAUUGCAGUGGGCAGUUGGAUCCUAGGAAAGUUCUUUACGGCUUUCAAUGAUCUCACCCUUGUAAUGCAUGGAGGAGAUUUUCUUGUAAGCUAUAACUGUCAUAUUAUUGUAAAAUAUGCAUGCACUUACUUUGUCUAUGUAUUAUCUUUAGGAUUCUUAGAGCAAGAUUUAAUUAUCAUAUUCUGAGGUGACACUGUCACAUUGUUUGAGCAACAAGC